rnacentral:lncRNA from 1 species
CUAAGCACAAAUUUAAAAGUUAAGUGUUGAAAAGAUCUGACCAAUGGGAUGCAAUCCAAUAGACAAGAAUGUCAUACAGAAACCCAAGUUUUCCUUGGACUUUAUAAUCAAGAAAUAUCAAUACACAAAUAGCAAGAUGAAGGGCAAAACAUCAAAUAAAGAUAGCCACAUCCAAGCUAGCAACUCCAUGAUCUUCUUCAUAAUCUUCCCCAUGUAUCAAAUGACAUACUGCUUGAAUGGCUCAAAAUAAGGCAUUAGACACUCAAC